UGGAGGACUUUUAUUAUGCUUUUAUUUUCAUAUUAUUAUGUUUUAUUUUUCAUCCUAUUUUUCAUUUUUUAAUAACAAUCUGAAGCUCACAAAUUGUGAUUCAUAUGGAGAUCAUGUUUUUCUGCUAACGUACAGAAUUAUGCUCUUUCUGUCUUUUCAGCAAGUACAAUGUCCAAGGAAGGACUUAAACAUCAUGUACCAGCAUGUACUGUCCUUUAUGAUUAUGUUUAACGGUUUUUGCUCUUAAUCACUGACAACUGAAGGCUAUCUUCUAAAUGACGUAGAAACGGAUGAUUGUACGUGUUUCACCAUCUUACUAUAAAUGUGUCUUCAACCUUGUGAUCGGGGCUCUUAGGUUUUUAAACUUCUUGCACCAUGGGGGUGAGAGCCUAUUCUGCAGAAUAUAUAAAAUUCAGACAAAGAAAAUUCUGUCGACAGUGUGUCUGUGUGAUCCUUGACUUUGACUCUUAGUGAGUAUUAUUUGAUGCGGCUAAAAUUCCACGACAAUAAUGGCGACGAGGAUGGGAUUCCACAGCUGUAGACUCCAGGUUUGGGAGAGACUGACUGAUCACCCCUGAGACAAGAGGUCUCGGGCUCCGUACCCCAGGCCUAAGGGAAGGGAGAGUCUCAACCAGUUCUGAAGUCAAGGCUGACGGAAUCUGGAAAAGAACCGUUGUGGUGGCAUCUGAAUAGAUAAUAUGGUCAAAGCAGCCCUACCACGGCCCGCUGAGGGACCGUUGCAUAACAUCAAACCAGGUGAUUUCGUAUUGGUGAAAAACCUGAGGAGGAAAUCCUGGAAAGCCAGAUGGUGGGAGGGGCCAUUUCAGGUUCUGCUGACGACUCACACCACUGUGAAGGUCGCGGAGCGUGCCACCUGGGUGCACGUUGCCCAUUGCCGGAGGGUUGGUCCUGGACUGCAAGGUGUAAACCAAAGGGAGGACGGCUAGUCGACUGCUACGGACCACUUUUUCGUAUUGGUGGGAACCACAGAUACCUGUAUACUGCAAGUUUAUACGAAGAACGACACGAGAGAACUGCAACAGCUCACAAAGUAUUGGAGGACGACUCCAGUAUUCUGGGUUUGGUUUGGACACACGCACACGACAUCUUUAAUGUGGGUAAUCGACACGACGCUUGCAGCUUAAUAACUGUAAUUACAACACCAGCUUUGAGACCCCACAUUAAUUUAGACACUAAGAUAAUUUCAUUCGAACAAGAAAGCAGGAUAGCUUGGCACGACUGCACCGUGUGGUCCUACCAAACCCGAACCUACAAAGGAAAUUAAUCAACAAGGGCUCACGACCCCAACUCUAACUGUGCUCAGGGCUCACGACCCCAACUCUAACUGUGCUCAGGGCUCACGACCCCAACUCUAACUGUGCUCAAUCCGGAAUCAUCAAGGGCUCACGACCCCAACUCUAACUGUGCUCAAUUUCUUCAAGAAAACGAACUAUUUUUCUUCUUUCAAAAAUGAGGUUCAUGAUCAUACUAUGUGUGUGUGCAUUUUUACUUUUGCAACUGCACAGAACUAUAUGUACACUAUGGUUAAGGGUAAUAACCAGAGCUACGUAACGAUGACAGUAAAUGAAGUUAUGAAUAAAUCAUAAAAAGGGAGGAGUGUAGUGGAGGACUUUUAUUAUGCUUUUAUUUUCAUAUUAUUAUGUUUUAUUUUUCAUCCUAUUUUUCAUUUUUUAAUAACAAUCUGAAGCUCACAAAUUGUGAUUCAUAUGGAGAUCAUGUUUUUCUGCUAACGUACAGAAUUAUGCUCUUUCUGUCUUUUCAGCAAGUACAAUGUCCAAGGAAGGACUUAAACAUCAUGUACCAGCAUGUACUGUCCUUUAUGAUUAUGUUUAACGGUUUUUGCUCUUAAUCACUGACAACUGAAGGCUAUCUUCUAAAUGACGUAGAAACGGAUGAUUGUACGUGUUUCACCAUCUUACUAUAAAUGUGUCUUCAACCUUGUGAUCGGGGCUCUUAGGUUUUUAAACUUCUUGCACCAUGGGGGUGAGAGCCUAUUCUGCAGAAUAUAUAAAAUUCAGACAAAGAAAAUUCUGUC